GAUGAACGCUGGCGGCGUGCCUAAUACAUGCAAGUCGAGCGAACAGACGAUGAGCUUGCUCCUCUGACGUUAGCGGCUGACGGGUGAGUAACACGUGGAUAACCUACCUAUAAGACUGGGAUAACUUCGUGAAACCGGAGCUAAUACCGGCUCAUAUAUUGAACCGCAUGGUUCAAUAGUUAAAGACGGUUUUGCUGUCACUUAUAGAUGGUUCCGCGGCGCAUUAGCUAGUUGGUAAGGUAACGGCUUACCAAGGCAACGAUGCGUAGCCGACCUGAGAGGGUGAUCGGCCACACUGGAACUGAGACACGGUCCAGACUCCUACGGGAGGCAGCAGUAGGGAAUCUUCCGCAAUGGGCGAAAGCUUGACGGAGCAACGCCGCGUGAGUGAUGAAGGUCUUCGGAUCGUAAAACUCUGUUAUUAGGGAAGAACAAAUGUGUAAGUAACUAUGCACGUCUUGACGGUACCUAAUCAGAAAGCCACGGCUAACUACGUG
rnacentral:rRNA from 1 species